rnacentral:rRNA from 1 species
GGUUAAGCGACUAAGCGUACACGGUGGAUGCCCUGGCAGUCAGAGGCGAUGAAGGACGUGCUAAUCUGCGAUAAGCGUCGGUAAGGUGAUAUGAACCGUUAUAACCGGCGAUUUCCGAAUGGGGAAACCCAGUGUGAUUCGUCACACUAUCAUUAACUGAAUCCAUAGGUUAAUGAGGCGAACCGGGGAACUGAAACAUCUAAGUACCCCGAGGAAAAGAAAUCAACCGAGAUUCCCCCAGUAGCGGCGAGCGAACGGGGAGGAGCCCAGAGCCUGAAUCAGUGUGUGUGUUAGUGGAAGCGUCUGGAAAGGCGCGCGAUACAGGGUGACAGCCCCGUACACAAAAAUGCACAUACUGUGAGCUCGAUGAGUAGGGCGGGACACGUGGUAUCCUGUCUGAAUAUGGGGGACCAUCCUCCAAGGCUAAAUACUCCUGACUGACCGAUAGUGAACCAGUACCGUGAGGGAAAGGCGAAAAGAACCCCGGCGAGGGGAGUGAAAAAGAACCUGAAACCGUGUACGUACAAGCAGUGGGAGCCUCUUUAUGGGGUGACUGCGUACCUUUUGUAUAAUGGGUCAGCGACUUAUAUUCUGUAGCAAGGUUAACCGAAUAGGGGAGCCGAAGGGAAACCGAGUCUUAACUGGGCGUUAAGUUGCAGGGUAUAGACCCGAAACCCGGUGAUCUAGCCAUGGGCAGGUUGAAGGUUGGGUAACACUAACUGGAGGACCGAACCGACUAAUGUUGAAAAAUUAGCGGAUGACUUGUGGCUGGGGGUGAAAGGCCAAUCAAACCGGGAGAUAGCUGGUUCUCCCCGAAAGCUAUUUAGGUAGCGCCUCGUGAAUUCAUCUCCGGGGUAGAGCACUGUUUCGGCAAGGGGGUCAUCCCGACUUACCAACCCGAUGCAAACUGCGAAUACCGGAGAAUGUUAUCACGGGAGACACACGGCGGGUGCUAACGUCCGUCGUGAAGAGGGAAACAACCCAGACCGCCAGCUAAGGUCCCAAAGUCAUGGUUAAGUGGGAAACGAUGUGGGAAGGCCCAGACAGCCAGGAUGUUGGCUUAGAAGCAGCCAUCAUUUAAAGAAAGCGUAAUAGCUCACUGGUCGAGUCGGCCUGCGCGGAAGAUGUAACGGGGCUAAACCAUGCACCGAAGCUGCGGCAGCGACACUAUGUGUUGUUGGGUAGGGGAGCGUUCUGUAAGCCUGCGAAGGUGUACUGUGAGGUAUGCUGGAGGUAUCAGAAGUGCGAAUGCUGACAUAAGUAACGAUAAAGCGGGUGAAAAGCCCGCUCGCCGGAAGACCAAGGGUUCCUGUCCAACGUUAAUCGGGGCAGGGUGAGUCGACCCCUAAGGCGAGGCCGAAAGGCGUAGUCGAUGGGAAACAGGUUAAUAUUCCUGUACUUGGUGUUACUGCGAAGGGGGACGGAGAAGGCUAUGUUGGUACGGGCGACGGUUGUCCCGGUUUAAGCGUGUAGGCUGGUUUUCCAGGCAAAUCCGGAAAAUCAAGGCUGAGGCGUGAUGACGAGGCGCUACGGUGCUGAAGCAACAAAUGCCCUGCUUCCAGGAAAAGCCUCUAAGCAUCAGGUAACAUCAAAUCGUACCCCAAACCGACACAGGUGGUCAGGUAGAGAAUACCAAGGCGCUUGAGAGAACUCGGGUGAAGGAACUAGGCAAAAUGGUGCCGUAACUUCGGGAGAAGGCACGCUGAUACGUAGGUGAAGUCCCUUGCGGAUGGAGCUGAAAUCAGUCGAAGAUACCAGCUGGCUGCAACUGUUUAUUAAAAACACAGCACUGUGCAAACACGAAAGUGGACGUAUACGGUGUGACGCCUGCCCGGUGCCGGAAGGUUAAUUGAUGGGGUUAGCGGUAACGCGAAGCUCUUGAUCGAAGCCCCGGUAAACGGCGGUACGUAACUAUAACGGUCCUAAGGUAGCGAAAUUCCUUGUCGGGUAAGUUCCGACCUGCACGAAUGGCGUAAUGAUGGCCAGGCUGUCUCCACCCGAGACUCAGUGAAAUUGAACUCGCUGUGAAGAUGCAGUGUACCCGCGGCAAGACGGAAAGACCCCGUGAACCUUUACUAUAGCUUGACACUGAACAUUGAGCCUUGAUGUGUAGGAUAGGUGGGAGGCUUUGAAGUGUGGACGCCAGUCUGCAUGGAGCCGACCUUGAAAUACCACCCUUUAAUGUUUGAUGUUCUAACGUUGGCCCCUGAUCGGGGUUGCGGACAGUGUCUGGUGGGUAGUUUGACUGGGGCGGUCUCCUCCUAAAGAGUAACGGAGGAGCACGAAGGUUGGCUAAUCCUGGUCGGACAUCAGGAGGUUAGUGCAAUGGCAUAAGCCAGCUUGACUGCGAGCGUGACGGCGCGAGCAGGUGCGAAAGCAGGUCAUAGUGAUCCGGUGGUUCUGAAUGGAAGGGCCAUCGCUCAACGGAUAAAAGGUACUCCGGGGAUAACAGGCUGAUACCGCCCAAGAGUUCAUAUCGACGGCGGUGUUUGGCACCUCGAUGUCGGCUCAUCACAUCCUGGGGCUGAAGUAGGUCCCAAGGGUAUGGCUGUUCGCCAUUUAAAGUGGUACGCGAGCUGGGUUUAGAACGUCGUGAGACAGUUCGGUCCCUAUCUGCCGUGGGCGCUGGAGAACUGAGGGGGCUGCUCCUAGUACGAGAGGACCGGAGUGGACGCAUCACUGGUGUUCGGGUUGUCAUGCCAAUGGCACUGCCCGGUAGCUAAAUGCGGAAGAGAUAAGUGCUGAAAGCAUCUAAGCACGAAACUUGCCCCGAGAUGAGUUCUCCCUGACCCUUUAAGGGUCCUGAAGGAACGUUGAAGACGACGACGUUGAUAGGCCGGGUGUGUAAGCGCAGCGAUGCGUUGAGCUAACCGGUACUAAUGAACCGUGAGGCUUAACCUU